GUUCCCUACGAAAAUUUAAUUCCAUAUACAUAGUAUAGCAUAUUUACACCGUGAUAUGAUUUAAUUAUUUAAAUGAUAACGAUCAACGAUAAUGAUUCGUAUUUUGAAACUUCUGUAUAAUUUCAAAUUAAAAGAACUUAAUACGUUUCCCAUUCAAUUAUUUUUUUAUCAUAGACCAUAUUUAUUUUUAUUGUUUGCUAUUUUUUAAGGCAGAAUUAAAGUAGGGAGUAGAGGAAGCAACAAAUGUUAAAAAUUUGAUUAAUGUCAUUUUUUGGCUGGAAUUCGAGGAGUUACUGAGGCUGCAUUCGUAAAUUCCAAAGAUCGCAAAGAACCACGUGCGUUCUCGCAAGUAUGCAUCCGGUCAAACCGGUGAAUCGAUCGCGACAAAAUUUGCAUACCAUCAUUCUUCGCCGCUGAUGAGUACUGAACGCCUCGGAAUAACCAAAUUCCCGAAAAUGAAAAACACUGAUAUUAUUAUUACUAUUAUCGUCAUCAUCACCAUCAUUGUAAAUUCAAAACUUAAAAAAUCUUAGUAAAAGUAUAAAUGUUUGGAGAUGCAAGGAAUUCAAUGAUUAGACAAUAAAUUGAACAAUAAAUUUACGUAAAAUACAUAUGUAUACGGUAAUAAUGUUAGGGGUAUGAUUGAACAUAUUAAAAGUCUCCUUACUGAAUUAAUUAAUAAAGAUUUGAUGGAUAUUGAAAUACCCUACGUAAUGCUUAAAGAACAAAUCAUUGAACAAAUUUAUAUCUUAUAGAUAAUUUUGCUCUUCUAAUUGAGAAUUAUGAUAAAUUUCCUAAACCUUAGACUCUAAACGAACGAUCCAGAAAUUCCAGAAGAGUUCCUGUAUUAUUUAAUACCAAUAUCCAUAAUGCAUUCAAUAAUUAUAAAAUUAAAUUAUAUUAAGUUGCUUAAAUUAAUUAAAGGUAUAUAAAAAGAUUAACUAUAAUAACUAUAAAAAUAAAUUAUAAUAGAUCUCCUAUAUCAAUAUAUUCCAUAUCAAAGAAUUAUCUGUCUAUAUAUCGAUAACUUCCAAAUAUCCAGGGAAAAUAGCCACAAUUCACGAAUAACUACGAAGUCCAUUUAAAUGUUAUUCAGCGGAAAAGUUACAAAAACCUGCAUGAAAAGGUUGGAUCAAAAGCACGAAGACCAUCUGGUCUGGGUUACCGUUUGAAUAAUUAAUUUCGGUGAUUUCUUUCGAGGGGCUAUGUAACGUGUAGCGUGUGGCCGGUUUUUGAAGCGUGCCAAGGUCGAGGAAAAUUCAGGCCAUUGCUCGGCAGGAUGCUUUAGAUGGCGCGAUAAGCGUAAGCAGACGAUAGAAGCAUAUAGGUUCGGUAACCGGAAGUUCGGCCUGGUCUUCGUUAUCGGUACCUUCUGUCAUGGCGUCUGAACCAUCCAAAAAUAACCAUUCACGGGGAUACGGAAGUGCCACAACGAUUCAUUAAACGACUAUCGUGAUUGCACACGGCACGAAUCUUUUCCAAGUUCGUAUGUGGUUGAUUAGUUCAAAUAGAAGAAUUGAUUUCUGGUUUUUGACGCGUUUGAAACAGGUCAGGAUAAGAGGGAUGCUUCGUAAAGCUGCAUCUGGAACCAGUUUAGUUGAUCAUCAAAUUUUCACGUAUGAAAUGUUAGAGAUGAGAAAGUCUAUACACUAUAGUAUACACGGUGGAGGAAAAUUAAGUCGUCAAAGUGCAACUCCGCAAUUGAAGCAUUUUGAAAAACAUCGCAGAAAGCUAUUUACCAAUCAGCAUCUAACUUCAAAGCACAUAAGCUCGAACAAGUUAAAUAUUGGAAAAUUUGUAAAGUAAAUUUGCAAAGCUAGAAAGAUCGUGGAGACCAGGGAAAUAAAAACGAAAUUAUGAAAAUUGAAAACUUAAGAUACUACUAUGUCUCGUUGCUGGAGCUGGAAUGGUGAAAUUUGUCGAAGAUUAAAAGAAGAUUAAAAAAAAGGUGGAAAGAUCGCAAAAAUAUAGACAUCAGGAAAAUUAGGAAAAUUAUGAUUAACAAAGAAAAAUGUGGGACACUAAUUGGAAUAUCCGAUUACCGGAAACAACUACCAGUUUCCAAGAAGAACAUGAAAAAACAUGAUUAUGCAUGAGAGCCAGGUACGUGCGGUAAGUUCUUUGAACUUUUUGUUAAAAUUCCGUGGUUGCAAGAAUUUCGCGAGAACGAAGAGAAAAAGGAGAGAGAAAAACAGAGAAAAAAUGCUAGCGGUAUAGUAUUAAAAUUCAUAAAUGUUGGCCCAGUUUAUACAUUCAUCGCGCAUAUUAUCUGCAUAUACUUAACUGUAACAAUUGAAAGUUACAGUGCUUGCAUGUUAUUGUUCGUCACACGUUUAAAAUGUCAAAUAUUUAUUCAGAGGCAGCUUUGAGGUUAGGUUCAACGUUUACAUACGGGACAGUGAUAUAUUUGUUUCUGCCACUGUAUUUCUUCCCGCUUAUGCAAGAAAACGAUAUUACUAGAGAAAAAUGUAACGAUAGUACGAGAACAAGCAAACGAGGAUCAUCCGAACGUGUACCCAGAUAACGUUGCACCACUUUGCCAUUCUGUAAUUUUAUGUAACAAAAGAAGUACGAACACAGAGUGAAGAUCUCGCUUGAAGUUGCCUCUAAAGAUCUUGAUCAUUUGUCAAAUACUCGUAGGCGAAAAAAAAAGUUAAAUUUACUAUUUUUUAGGCCUAAUUUUUCCAGGAUUCCAGGAUUGUUCUUCUUGUAUCAAUUCUACGUUUUCUUCAAUUCUAUGUGUAUAAUUUUACAUGUAUUCUACACUUGUCUAUAUGUACAAUUCCGUGUCACUGUUUUAUAAAAUUAUAAAAUGAAAGAGAAAGUGAAAGGAAGAUGAGAAAUCAAAAUAGCAUUAAAAUUAAUAACAGCAAAGACAAAUGAAUUUCAAUCAGGACAUUUUCAAUGCUUGAAAAUACCAGCAAUGACGUAACUUACUUGUUACGAAACUGAGACUAAAAAGCAAAAGGAUAGGAGAUCUGGAAAUAAAAGAAUUAUUUUGUUCGAACGACGAGUUGAGAAAUUCGAAUGUGAAAGGGCCAAAGGGGCGACAAAUCGCCUCUAUGCGAUCUAACAGGUUAAACUUCCGCAUCGCAAAGAGCGAAUGCCCGAAAACCGCCUCACAAUAAAACUUUCCGUUUGAUUGCCUAGCAACCUGCGAAACACGUCGACUCGAUUCAUUCGCAUUAUAUAUAUUUUUCGUCUAAAUUGUGUGUCUAUGUGUAGAACUAAGUUAAGAAACGACGAUAAAAAUGUUGAAUUUUCUCUUACAAUUAAUUUAAAGCUACCACUUUAUACGUUGAUACCGAGAAGAUUUUGAAGAAAAUAGCCCAAGGUAUUUUUAAAGCGUACAAAUAUUUGGUACAUUUAUAAUGUAUCAAAUAUGUUGUAAUAAUAAAUUGUAAUAAUAAAAUUCCAUCAAACAUACUUCUCUAUUAUAUAUUA